GCUUGUAAAAGUUCUUUAUAUAUUAUGAAUAUUAGUCUUCUGAGUUUUUAAAAAUUAUUGACCUUGACUUUUAAUUCUUCUGCCCCAAUUCCACACUCUCCUCUCCAAGUACAGUUGAAUUUAUUAUACAUGUGUCUUUGACUAGAUUUUUUUAUUGCUGUUGCUACUCUGGAAAUGAAGAAAAAGAGCUGAGAUCCAUGUUUGAGUCAGUAAUGGGGUGGAAGAGGAAUAAUGAGUGGGACAAAAGGCGAUUGGUGAAUUGAACUUAAAUACAUCCUGCGAAGCUUAAUGAUGGGGGUGGAUAUUUUCUGAGCAGUGCGUCCUUAGGCCAUUUUGCCAUGCGAGUGUCUAAGAGUACACUUAUCAAGCCCAGGUGGUAGGGCUCACUCCGUUACAGGCCUCCAUUAUUAUCUCAUGGGACCGCCAUGGCAGAUGUGGACUGUCAGGAGUUCAGAGCUCAGAGGCAGGGGCAACCACGAAAACAGGCAGUCCUGGAGUAGUCACAGAAGUCUUGCUAAUGAUGUUAGAUACCUCAGAACAUGAAACAUACUUGAGCUUAUUUUAUCUGGAUCUCCAGAGAUGAUAAAACCACAAUUAAAAUAGGAAUGCAGCCGUGUGAAGACACAGGCUGUGCUGAUCUUUUCUGCAUUGUGCACAGCACCUGGCACUGCACCGGCACACAGGAAGUGCUUUUCUGCAUUGUGCACAGCACCUGGCACUGCACCAGCACACAGGAAGUGCUUUUCUGCAUUGUACACAGCACCUGGGACUGCACCGGCACACAGGAAGUGCUUUUAGGAGUCCUUGGCGGACAUCAUUUCCACCGUUGAGUUUAAUUACUCUGGAGAUCUUCUUGCAACAGGAGACAAGGGCGGCAGAGUUGUUAUUUUUCAGCGUGAACAAGAGAACAAAAGCCGCCCUCAUUCUAGGGGAGAAUAUAAUGUUUACAGCACUUUUCAAAGUCAUGAACCAGAGUUUGACUAUUUGAAAAGUCUAGAAAUUGAGGAAAAAAUUAAUAAAAUUAGGUGGUUACCACAACAGAAUGCUGCUCAUUUUCUACUCUCUACAAAUGAUAAAACUAUAAAAUUAUGGAAAAUAAGUGAACGGGAUAAAAGAGCAGAAGGUUAUAACCUGAAGGACGAAGAUGGAAGACUUCGAGAUCCAUUUAGAAUCACUGCACUACGGGUCCCAAUAUUGAAGCCCAUGGAUCUUAUGGUAGAAGCGAGUCCACGGCGAAUUUUUGCAAAUGCUCACACAUAUCAUAUAAAUUCCAUUUCAGUAAAUAGUGAUCAUGAAACGUAUCUUUCUGCAGAUGACCUGAGAAUUAAUUUGUGGCACUUAGAAAUCACAGAUAGAAGCUUUAGUAUCCUUCCUCAGAGGGACACUGGCGUUUUCCUGAGGUGCUCUUUAGAUAGUGAUGUAUCUUGUUCCUUUAUACACCUGUAUCUCAGAGUCUGGUCUUGUAAAUACCGUCGCUGCACAGCAGCCUGUGAUAUAAGUUCUCUGUGAUUUGAAAUGUUUGUCCCUAAAGAUACAAAUUUCUUUCUACCUUUGGGAAAAAGUUAUGUGUAAUGGGAAUUACCUGAAGUACACUGCUUGCCUGUUUUAGUCAGAGACAGUUUUAAAUAGGCUGCAUUUGAAAA